CCGAGUUAGGGUGCUUCUCGCGGCCCGACCUCCAACCCUUUGUCCACCUGACCAGAUGUUGCUUCGGCAGGCCCCGCCGCCCCGCAAGGGGUAGCCGCCGGGGGUCUUUACCGGCCCCGGGUCCGUGCCUGUCGAUGGCCCCCUUCUAUAAACUCUUGCUUAAAACGUGUCGUCUGAGUAUAAACAAACAAAAUAAAACA
rnacentral:misc_RNA from 1 species